CCCAGGUUCAGCUCUGCUCCGUGUCCGUGCACGGCGCCCCAGGUCAGCUCUGCUCCGUGUCCGUGCACGGCGCCCCAGGUCAGCUCUGCUCCGUGUCCGUGCACGGCGCCCCAGGUCAGCUCUGCUCCGUGUCCGUGCACGGCGCCCCAGGUCAGCUCUGCUCCGUGUCCGUGCACGGCGCCCCAGGUCAGCUCUGCUCCGUGUCCGUGCACGGCGCCCCAGGUCAGCUCUGCUCCGUGUCCGUGCACGGCGCCCCAGGUCAGCUCUGCUCCGUGUCCGUGCACGGCGCCCCAGGUCAGCUCUGCUCCGUGUCCGUGCACGGCGCCCCAGGUCAGCUCUGCUCCGUGUCCGUGCACGGCGCCCCAGGUCAGCUCUGCUCCGUGUCCGUGCACGGCGCCCAGG